rnacentral:tRNA from 1 species
AUCCCAGCAAGGUGUAUGGCAUACAUAUUCUUACUAGUUUUAUAAGAACAUUCUAUUCGU